CUGAGUUUCUAGAACUAGGAGGAGGAUUGAUAUUUGGAAAAAUACAAAUGCAGACUCAAAAUACCUAUACAACAAUAAAAUGUAUGUGAAUUGAAUUGAUGUGAAUUGAAUUAAACAAUGUGAAUGUAUGUGAAUUACUCAACUUUUGUAUUUCUUGAGAAACCCUUCAUCUUUUGUGAUUGACAUACUGUGAGAUUUUUGAAGGACCUGACUGUAGUUUGACUUUCAGUUUUGCAUUAUAGUCAGCCUGCCCACAAGUGGAAGUGGGCAAUGCCACAUAGAAGGAGGAACUAGAAGAGCUAAGAAACUGGACUGUGUUUUUGGAGCAGACCACAGAGGGGCAGGGCAAAGCCAGCUCUCUGAACUGAGGAGAUUUUAUUACCUGUCUGCAGUAGACCUGUCUUCCCAUCACUGAGCCUGAAGUAUUUCUGUAUAUCCAACAGGAUCCCUGCAACAGAGGCAGACAUUGAAUGACAGCAAAGCACCCUGCUAAUCCUGGAGCUCAUCUGCAGCAGAAGGGAGUGGGUGAAAUCAGCAAGAGGCACCUCUUCUCCCACACUGUGCUUUACACUUUGUGCCAGGAACUACACUGCUCCAGCCACUUAAAAGCAGUGUGGGACCAGCUAAUUUAAAGAAAUCACACGACUGCCAGCAGCUCACAAGGAAGUGAAGCCUCCCCUAAGGAUAACACCCCUAACAUGGAUAACAAGGUUAUCACAAAGAUCACAUGGUUUUUGAACUUGUAAUGGAGGGAAUAGCAUCAGUAUUCUUCAGACAGAGGAAUAACAUAUAGAAUCUACUAAAGAAGGCCUUGUAAACAAACUGUUGUGGACAGUAAAGAGAAGCUCCUUACUCACACCUCUGCAGAAUCCAGCCACAAAAAUGGACCAGUUGCCCUGUAUGCUAAAGUCUG